rnacentral:rRNA from 1 species
UACGAAUGGGACUAGCGUUGUUCGGAAUCACUGGGCGUAAAGCGCACGUAGGCGGAUGUGUCAGUCAGGGGUGAAAUCCCGGGGCUCAACCUCGGAACUGCCUUUGAUACAGCACGUCUCGAGUCCGGAAGAGGUGGGUGGAAUUCCUAGUGUAGAGGUGAAAUUCGUAGAUAUUAGGAAGAACACCGGUGGCGAAGGCGGCCCACUGGUCCGGUACUGACGCUGAGGUGCGAAAGCGUGGGGAGCAAACAGG